UAUAGGGCACUACACCCUUAUAUGUAGAU
rnacentral:guide_RNA from 1 species